ensembl:lncRNA novel transcript
GGGACAUGACUGAAUGUCUCCCUCCACCUGCUGGCAGCAGUGCAGAGCAAUGGCAGGGACAAACUUACGGAAACUUCUAGAGGAACCUUGGCAGUGUGAGAGCGCGGGAAAUUUGUAAAAGACUAGACCUGCUGCCAGCCAAGCCGAUGAGGGUUCAGAGUCUUGGGAGUUGAGGCUGUUCUGAUCAUGAUCAAGCCCAAGACAGAGCGAUGGGCGUGGCUUCCCCAAAGGUGUUUAUGAAUCCAAAAUCUGAGAGAGAGAAGACAAGAUGAAGUCACAGUCUAGUCAUUGCCUCAACACCAGUCAUUCCUACUCCCACCCAGACAACAUCAUCUCCACUCCCAAGCCCGAAAUGCUCCCUGCCAUGCCUUCGAGGCUGAGGUCUGGGAAGAAAACUCUAAGAAGAGAGAAAAGGGCACCAGUAUGGAGACCCUAGAAUAUAAAAAGCAGACUUAGCCUGUCUAACCUGUUCCUUGACUUGGCCAUGAUCCCAGGAAUGGAGGAAGGAUCUUCCUUUUCUUCCUCCUCCUGGAGAGGCAUCAGAGCAUGGGCCCUGGCUCUGUUACUCCCUGGCUGGGGAAGUUACUUACCUACUCCGUGUCUCAGUUUUACUUAUCUCUAAAAGGGGUAGAGUAACAGCACUCACUGGAGUGGAGUGUGGUUAUGCCUCCCAGCCUCUCCUUCAGAACUAGGUUACUUAUUCCCUCAGCUGCAAGGAGUGUUAGCUGCGGACUGCUCACAACGGAGUCUCUUCUAGGGAUUGCCCUCAACCGAAGGAAGCUGCAUUGCCCAAGAUGAGAUCCCCUCGCUGGGGCAUCCUGCAUCCAAUGACAAGUCAGUGGGGCGUACGAAGGCCUGGCUUCCUCAUCUCGAUUGGACAUCUCCAAAGGGCCAUCCCAGUUUCUGAUCUCCCCGUAGAAUCUCCUGAAGCCUCUGUUGUGACUGCAUCAGAGCCCAACCUCUCUCUCUACCCAAUCCAGUCUCCUUUCCUUCUCACAGGUGUUGUUCCCAAAACUCAGUAAACUGCCUACACGCAAA